AGUCCAGUAACAUCUUAGAGACCAACUAAGUUUGUUCUAGGUAUAAGUUUUUGUGUGCAUGCACACAAAUGCUUAUGCCCAGAACAAACUUAGUUGGUUCUAAGGUGCUACUGGACU